rnacentral:misc_RNA from 1 species
UCCCCAAAUAAGGGCAGUCUCGCCUGACACAUGUAACAGGCAAUGAGGGUUGCGUUCGUUACCCCACUUAAGGGAACAAUUCAAACCACGAACUGACGACGGCCAUGCAUCACCUGUCUAAUUGUCCUUGCGGACCACAAAGGUUUCCCAAUGUGUUCAACUAGAUUUCUAACCUUGGUAAGGUUCUUCGUUUGUCGACGAAUUAAACCCCAUAAUCCACCGCUUGUGCAAGUCCCCGUCUAUUCCUUUGAGUUUUAAGCUUGCGCUCGUACUACCCAGGCGGAUCACUUAACGCGUUAGCUUCGCCACAAAGAGGGUCGAUACUCCUUAUAGCUAGUGAUCAUCGUUUAGGGCGUGGACUAC